rnacentral:lncRNA from 1 species
AAUAUAGUAUGAAAAGAGAAUCAGGAAGCCAUGGCUCUCCUGAUAGCACUGAUAAAACACUUAAGAAAUCCUGCUAAGUAGUAGCUGCAUCUAAAGUGCACAGAUAGCCACUUGCAUCUUCUUGGGGUUCAAGAGGCUGUGGGAUGAGGCAAAGGGCUCAUCUGUAGACCUCUCUUCCUGGUCACAAGCUGGCAGCAGCCAUGUGCCACCCAUUGGUAGAACACAGCCAGCCUUUUUAGUAUUGCUACCAGAAACUGAUUUCAUACGCUGUUAAUCUGUCUAUUGCAGCUACAAAUGCAUCCAUCAGACAAUUGUUGUAUAAGGUACAAUAUAUUUUAUUUAAUACAUCCUAUGGACAAAUGUUUUAUACUGUAUGAUGUAUUUUAUUUAAUAUAUCCUAACAUAAUUUAUGCUAUAUUGAUAAGUACUCUAGCGUGUGUUGAAACUUCAGAGCUGAGGAGAAAACGCAGGGUGGGUUGGUUAGUUAUGAGUUGCUGGAGCAACUCCUGCCCAUAGUUCUUGACAUUACUCCUGGUAACUGAUGGUACAAAAGGCUUAUCUUCAUUUUCUUCACUGUUAACUUCUAGUUGUAGAAUCACUGAGGGAAGCACCUCUGGUUUGGUUGGGUAGGCACUUUCUAGAGAAAUUUGAAAAAGAACUAAUUUAGUGGAUAUUUAUAAAAUAUGAAAAUAUCCCAUAGAAAACAAGAAAAUGAUUUAGUGGACUGAUGAUUCUAUGUCUGUUUUCAUUUAUUUUUUGUUCUCUUUUAUUAAGAGAAUUUGUUGACAACAAUGAAUAUGUUAUCUUGAGUAGUUGUCAAUUCAUAUGAAUUGGUAUUUCCUCAUAAAUUUGCAUGGUUAAUUAUGGAAACUUCAGAGAACAUGGAUAGAGAUUUAAAAAUCAUUAAGUCUAGUUUGUGUUUAGGAGUUUUCAGAGUCAAACUUCAGUGGAAAGAUGAUUAUUUGUCAAGUCAUAUUUAAAGUAGUUCAAAGCGCACAUUUUAAACACUUGAAAGAUGUGUAAUCAUUAAUGGUUUGUGGUUGAAAAAUGUACUUUUAGCAUAUCUGUUUGUGUUUUGUUUAAAUUAAGGUAUAUUCACUCUAAUAUUCUCAGAUCUGAUAUAUUAUUUUUGAAUAGCACCAUGUAUCAUACGCUGAUUUAUGUCUAACUCUAGUAAAAUAUGUGAUUGUAUUGUAGACAUUUUUAUACAGUUGUUUAUGUGUGAGGGAACCACUGAGAUAUUGACACUAUGACUUACUCUCAUAGGACUUUAAAUAGUUCUCUAUCAGAUAAUCAGUACAUCUUUUUGUGGUGAGAUUCUUUUUCUCCUAUUGUGUUGCCUUGUGCAGUCUUGAUAUGAGGGUUUUGCCUUGUCUUAUCAUGUCUUGUUCUGUCCUGUUUGGCCGUCAUCUCUUAGAGACCCGACUUUAUGAAGAAGUAACAGAUGGAGAGUGAAUCUGGAGGAGAAGGAGGGGGAGGCAUCUAGGAAGACUGAGGGAAGAAAAACUGUCAUUGGAAUCCAUUGUGUGCGAGAACAAUAUU